rnacentral:rRNA from 1 species
UGGGGAAUCUUCGGCAAUGGGCGAAAGCCUGACCGAGCCAUGCCGCGUGUGUGAUGAAGGCCCUAGGGUUGUAAAGCACUUUCAGUGGGGAAGAUAAUGACGGUACCCACAGAAGAAGCCCCGGCUAACUACGUGCCAGCAGCCGCGGUAAUACGAAGGGGGCUAGCGUUGUUCGGAAUUACUGGGCGUAAAGCGCGCGUAGGCGGACUGAUCAGUUGGGGGUGAAAUCCCGGGGCUCAACCCCGGAACUGCCUUCAAUACUGUCAGUCUAGAGGUCGAGAGAGGUGAGUGGAAUUCCGAGUGUAGAGGUGAAAUUCGUAGAUAUUCGGAGGAACACCAGUGGCGAAGGCGGCUCACUGGCUCGAAUCUGACGCUGAGGUGCGAAAGCGUGGGGAGCAAACAGGAUUAGAUACCCGCGUAGUCC